GAUGCCAUGAAACAAGGGAUGCCAGGGUGGAAAAGGAAUGAGUGUUUAACAACAUAUGGCACCAUAUCAGCCCCAAACUGAUGGAUUCCACUCCUCUUGAAAUCUUAGAUCACAGACUGGCCUCCUUCUUGGUGUCAGCAACAUGGAUCUUAUCCAGCCAGACAAUAUCCAGAAGAAUAUAAAAUCCCUAUCUUCCUGUGACACAGGAGUAUGGAAACCAUUUCCAGACCUAUCUUUGGAGUCAUUUCCAGGGAAGGGAAGGAACAACACACUGAAUGAGGACAUGUCCAUCUCAGGGGAGCCAGGACUUUUUCUCAGUAAGCCCUGAUAACUUGAUGUGAGAAGGCCAAGAAGAAGCCUAUGGAGAUGCCCACAAGAGGAGACUAAAGCUGAGAGAAACUGAGGCCCCUGGCCCUAGAGCUUUCACUGAGCUCCAGCUGACAACCAUCAUCAAAUCACCAGCCAUGUGACUGUGCCAUGAUGGGAGGGAAUCACCCAGUGUCCAAAUGAUCUGAUGCCACAUGUAAAAGAGAAGAGCCUUCCCCUUUGAGCCCUGCCCAGAUUGCUACUCUGCACCAA